rnacentral:sRNA from 1 species
GGUCUGAGACUAGGGUAAGAGGCAGCCCUACCAGGGCCCUCCCAGAGCUUCUGGAAAGUGAGCCCCCAGAGAACAGGGCUCCACGUGAGGUUUGGACUGAACAUGGAACCAGUCACCACUUCUGGAAGUCAGGAUUGGAAACACAGUUCUG